CGAGGUGUGACGAAGAGAAUCAUUCGGAAUUUUGAAUUCCAUAGAUUUGUGUUCACAAACAUGAUAUCUUAAACCAGCUACUUCUGACCCGG
rnacentral:snoRNA from 1 species